ACAUCUCAACUCCUCACGGUUUGCCCGUGAUGAGCUUGGACUUUGGGGGUCUUGCUGGCCUGCAGGUCGGCUCCUCUCAAAUGAAUCAGCUUGCCGGUGUUUGGCGGCGUCACAGGUGUGAUAACUAUCUACGCUUGUGGUUUUCCGCCAGGUAACCUCCAGUGAUGGGGGUUUGCUGGAGCUCACAAAUGUCUCUCCUCGGCGAGGACAGGUCUUUGAAC
rnacentral:misc_RNA from 1 species